CUGUACUUAGCCCAAACAAAUAAAUUCUUACUACAAUAGCCUUCCUAAAACAAAACAUUUACCCCCAUAAAAGUAUAGGAGAUAGAAAUUUUAACUGGCGCUAUAGAGAAAGUACCGCAAGGGAACAAUGAAAGAACCUACCAAAGCAAAAAAUAGCAAAGCUUACCCCUUGUACCUUUUGCAUAAUGAUUUAACCAGAACUAACUUAGCAAAGAGAACUUAAGUUAAUGCUCCCGAAACCAGACGAGCUACCUACGAGCAGCCCAACAGAGCAAACUCAUCUAUGUGGCAAAAUAGUGAAGAGACUUGUAGGUAGAGGUGAAAGACCUACCGAGCCUGGUGAUAGCUGGUUGUCCAGUAAAAGAAUUUUAGUUCAAAUUUAAGCCUACCUGUAAAAUAACCUAAUUAUUCUGUAGACUUAAAGUAUAGUCUAAAAGGGGACAGCCCUUUAGAUAUAGGCUACAACCUUAUCUAGCGAGUAAGAUCAUAUAAAUACACCAUAGUUGGCCUAAAAGCAGCCAUCAAUAAAGAAAGCGUUCAAGCUCAACAGCUUAAACCACCUUAAUAACCAUAAUCAUUACUAACUCCUAGUACUAAAACUGGACCAUUCUAUUAACCAUAUAGAAGAACUACUGUUAAUAUGAGUAACAAGAAUUUAAUUCUCCCCGCACAAGUGUAUAUCAGAACGGAUAUCCACUGAUAGUUAACGCAUGUAAAGUAAACCAAAUAACAAGUCCUUUACUACUUAAUCGUUAAUCCAACACAGGAGUGCUCGCAAGGAAAGAUUAAAAGGAGUAAAAGGAACUCGGCAAAUACAAACCCCGCCUGUUUACCAAAAACAUCACCUCUAGCAUCCCCAGUAUUAGAGGCACUGCCUGCCCAGUGACAUAAGUUCAACGGCCGCGGUAUCCUGACCGUGCAAAGGUAGCAUAAUCACUUGUUCUCUAAAUAAGGACUUGUAUGAAUGGCCACACGAGGGUUCUACUGUCUCUUACUCCCAAUCAGUGAAAUUGACCUCCCCGUGAAGAGGCGGGGAUACUUCAAUAAGACGAGAAGACCCUAUGGAGCUUCAAUUAACUAGUCUAAGAGCAAAUAUUUUCUACCUCAAAAGAAAUAAAAUAGCCUCAAAUAGACUAACAAUUUAGGUUGGGGUGACCUUGGAGCAUAAAAAACCCUCCAAGCAACUACAAGCCCAGACUAACUAGUCGAAGCUACAUCACUAGCUGAUCCAAAUUUAUUGAUCAACGGAACAAGUUACCCUAGGGAUAACAGCGCAAUCCUAUUUCAGAGUUCCUAUCGACAAUAGGGUUUACGACCUCGAUGUUGGAUCAGGACAUCCCAAUGGUGCAGCAGCUAUUAAAGGUUCGUUUGUUCAACGAUUAAAGUCCUACGUGAUCUGAGUUCAGACCGGAGUAAUCCAGGUCGGUUUCUAUCUAUUCUACGCCUCUCCCAGUACGAAAGGACAAGAGAGACAAGGCCUCCUUCAAACCAAGCGCCUUCUAUCUCAACAGAUGAUAUAAUCUCAAUCUGACAGACAAUAAACACCCUACCCCUAGACCAGGGUUC
rnacentral:rRNA from 1 species